UCCCCUCAAGCCAAUAUUUUGGAAUCAGAUAAUUUUCAUAUUUCCAGAAUCCUCGUACUCUCGCGAGUCUACCCAUAUAAAAAUCUCUCAAAUCGGAGGUCAAACACCCACUCAAAACUCAAUAGUUUAGUCUAUGAAGUUUUACCCAUUUUCCAUUCAAAAAUAUGAAAUUAAAGCUGAAUUCGUGAUUAGAUUAGUGGUUUUAAGCAUAUGGGAGUAGAGAAUCAUUACCCAAUCCUUUCUCUCGAAAAUCCCU
rnacentral:lncRNA from 1 species